UUAAAUCUACAACCUGUAAAGAAUACAAACUAAACUCCGAGGAUGUAUAUUUUACAUGGCAUCCAGAAUAUACUUGAUGCCUUUUAGUUCGCAUUAAGGACAAGGAAUAGCACUCGACUCUGGGGAGCUCUUUAGUGCCCCAGAUGUUUGCAUUUAACGAAGAUGAAAUUCAGUGGGCUCUUAACUUAAAAGCGUACAUGCCAAAAUAAAAGAAAAGAGAAAUUACAAGUAUGGUAAACCUAUUCUUUUCAAAAUAAAUUUUAUUUUUGGUCGUUUCAUUCCUUAAUUUAACGUAUCUCUUUCUCUCCUUAAAAAUGUAACCAAAUCUGAAUAACAUUUCGUUGCAUUCGUUGCACGCCUCUAAUUUUACAAGAACUAUUUUACCUUUUUUUUUUGGCGGAAUGCGCUUUCAGCUUUCAUAGGUUAAUAAUUAUCAAAAGCUCAGCGCUAAGUAAAAGUUUGUAUGAGCUGGCUACGCGCACCACAGCGCGAGAUGAAAGGUAAAAACAGAAUGAAGGAAACUCACAACCGGUGCUUUGAAAAUAUUAAAUGAUGUUGCCAGAAACCAGACGAAAGCUGCAUUAAGGAAAUAUAAGCAUACAUGUAAGUUUGUAUGUCAUAACAAAUGGCAUAGAAAUUAGUCGCAAGUUUUUUAUGUACUAUGGUACAUUAAGAGUUUAUUACAUUUUUAUAAUGGGAAACAUAUGUUCGAUGUACCUACACACAGUUUGGUCUUAGCUUAGAUUCAUAGUUUAAUUGCAGAAAAAGAAUCAAAGAUAAAAUGAAAGGAAAAAAAUGAGUAUGAAUUGAUCUUAUGAUGUUCAGUGCGGGAACUUGGGAAAAUCUCAAGCUCUGACAAAUGAAUAUUCCACCUCUAUGUACAUACAAUGCGGGUGGCUGUCUUUUGUAAAGCUAACUGUUUCUGCCAUUUGGAUAUUUUCACGAUAUGUGGAAACUGCAGAAUUACAUCCGCGCCUUAACAAUACGUCUUACAUCAAAUCACAAAAGAAAGUCGCCAAUGGCAGCAAAAACCCAUGUGCACAACGAUACAGAUAUCGAGACCGGAAGAUCAUCUUUUUUACUUUACAUCAUUGGCAGCGAAAAUACAAGUCUCAAGAACAAAAAAAAAACUUCUGUAUGAUAUGAUCGAGGUUUUUCUUCCUCUGGUUACGGGCAAGAUCGGCUCGGCAACAUUUUCUCUAAUUGCAAGAGAUUUCAUAUUUCCUCUUGUAAUUACUUUCUCACAAAAUCUCGAAAGAACCAAUUCAUUUAUGUGGGGUAUGCGUGCUCAGAAGCCUAUUGCUUUUGCCUUUGUGAACCUGAGGGAUGCCCCCUUUUUUCUUAAAUUUCUGUAUAAUUUAUAAUUUUUCCGAAAUGUCACGGAAAUGACAACUGCCACGAUCGUUCGAUGCUGUUUUUCAUGACCUCCGUUUGAAAAGAUAAAACAAAUAGUACACUGACAAAAAAUUACUUAGCGGUCACUAAAAUUGCCUCCGCUGUAGGAUAAGCAAACAAAAUUUUACGCUAUAUCAGUAAUAAGUGUCGAGCCUUUAAUCGACAAGAAAUCUCUAUUUCCUUGGGAACUUUUCGCAAGCAACACGAUCAAAAUCUGGAAAUCGUCUUACGAAAGAAAAAAAAUAAUGAAAACAAAACAAAUGAAUGAACUUGGCCAGAAGGUUGUUCCUUAAGUCGAAACUUCAAAUGUACCUUGUGCUCGCGAACUUUCGAGAAAAGGCACUCCACGAGGAACACCAGAGAAAAAAAUUCAGUUUCACUUUGAAUUGAAAGAAAUAUUCUCCUUUUGUUAAACUUUCAAUGGAAUUUGCCUUUAUUCAUCGUAAUAAUGGAAAUAAAACAGUCACGUACGAAAAUGAAUUUGAAAUUAAAAUGUCCUUUCUCAAGUACAUGACAAAGAUAAGAAUUGUAAGUUCAAGAAUUUUUGUUUGUUUGCCAAUGGAAAAAUGGAUAGCACCGUCAGGUCCUCGCUAUUUUCAAUGAAGAAUAAGUAACCUUUUAAUUUUUAACAAAAUUAAAUGGGUGUAAGGGCGUGAAAUAGCAAAAAGACACAACAGAAAUGAGUCACACGAUGUGAAUCAAAGAGAGUCUUGAGUCCUGCUGUUUCAGUCAGCAAACAGCGAAUUUUACGAUCAAUCACUCGCACAAUGAGCAAGUGGAUGUGUCGAUUAUGAAGGACGAUAAAUCAGGAAAAAUAGAAAAAUAUCGUCACGUUUGUUCCUCGCUGAAACAACAGUUUUGCCAAUUUAUCGCUUACCUGUGAAUUAAGUUCAACGGCCACUACUCUCUGAGGAUAGAGGAAUUCUGUCGAUGGAUACGGAAGCCUCGAAGUUACUUUAAAGUUUUUCUCCAGAUCCCUCCAAAUUUCAAAAUUCGAAUCUUGGAUGUGAUAGUUGAGAGUCACGUAAUGGUGCAAGUUCGACAAAAUUGAAAAGCAGCGAAUUUUUCCCCUCGAUCUUAAGGAACUCUUGCGCUUAUCCUUCCGGACGAGAAUGAUUUUUGGUUACAAAGGGACUAUAUCUGAUCUCUUUGAUUUCAGCCAUUGAUAUCUCGUAACAAAGAGCAUAAUAUAUUUGUCUGAAGGUGGCUAAUUUGUCUUCUCUUUCUGGGAUGGAAUAGGCACAAUUCUCUCACUGGGUGCAGGUAUCAGGAAGGUGGCACCAAUGAAAUACAAAAGGGGAUUCAACCAUCCAAACAACUGGCCAUGAAAAGAAAUCAUUUUCCACGCAAACAUUUACUUAGGUGCAGCGAAAGAGCCUUUUGAAAGUGGAAAAUCUCCAAACGACUGUGUUUGACCAUAUGUUAUUCAAGGAAGAGUCAACGAGUGAACAGAACUCUUUCGAAAACUGAUAAUAGAACUCGAUAGAGAGACAGAGAAAUGAAUUGUUUGCUCGAAAACGCGUGGUUAAAUUCACAUUGGUCGGUGAGAAGAUAGCGUUUUCAUUCAAAUCUGAAGCAAUGGCAGUUUGUUUCGAUAAAACUCUUAAAUGCUAUGUAAUGAAUCUGAAACCAGUAGGGUAGAAUAAAAUAGCUAUAAAAUCAAA